rnacentral:rRNA from 1 species
UACGAAGGGGGCUAGCGUUGCUCGGAAUCACUGGGCGUAAAGGGUGCGUAGGCGGGUCUUUAAGUCAGGGGUGAAAUCCUGGAGCUUAACUCCGAAACUGCAUUCGAUACUGCCGUGCUUGAGGACUGGAGAGGAGACUGGAAUUUACGGUGUAGCGGUGAAAUGCGUAGAUAUCGUAAGGAAGACCAGUGGCGAAGGCGGGUAGCCGGGCCGACACUGACGCUGAUGCGCGAAAGCCAGGGGAGCGAACGGG